GAUUUGCUUUGACGCGUUGACUUGAUUUGUAUACAACAAGAUUCUUGGGUUACCUCAAUUUUUAUUUUAAUGGAUAUAGCAAUGUUUUUUUUGAACGAAUUACUCACCGAGAGUGAUAGUUCAAGUAGCGAAGAGGAAGAUGGGUUGCGAGCUCGAGGUAUCAUGGUGCCCCGACCUAGAGUCCGACAUUUUAUGGAGGAAGUAGUGGAUUUUUACACAGACGUAGAAUUUCGAGAAAACUUCAGGAUGGACAGGGUCACUUUUAAUCACAUUUUGUCAUUGAUAAUUGACAGAAUAUCGACAAAUAUUAUAAAGGUCGACAUACUAUUACCCCAAGAGUUCAACUCUGCUUAGCUUUAUGGUAUUUCGGAACACCAGAUUCCUUUAGAUCCAUCUGUGGACGAUUCAACGUUGGCAAAGCCACUGCUUUGAGGACUGUAAGGCGAGUUGCAGAAGCUCUAUUAUAUAUAGGCCCAAAUUUUAUAUUAUGGCCCACGAAUGAUUAUCUUGAGGAAGUAAAAAACGGAUUUCAGCGAAUGGGAUUCCCCAACACAAUUGGUGCCAUAGAUGGGACACACAUAAAAAUACCGAAACCCAAAAACCAUGGGAAUUCAUAUGUUAACCGAAAAUCUUAUCCCAGUAUUAUAUUGCAGGCAGUCUGCGAUAAUACCCUGAAGUUCACCCACUGCUAUGCAGGGGAAGUCGGGGCACACCAUGAUGCUAGCGUCUUAAGGAGAAGUGAAAUUUGGAGUUUCAUGACAGAGGAUGGGAAAUUUCCAAAUGACACCCAUUUAAUUGGUGACAAGGCUUAUCCCUGUUUUCCAGAAAUAAUGACUCCCUAUAAAGACAAUGGCCAUCUAACAACAUAGCCAAAAACAAUAUAAUUUUCUAUUAUCUAGAGCAAGAUGUACAAUAGAAAGGGCCUUUGGCUUAUUAAAAAAAAGAUUCAGAUGUCAUGGUGAAUUAUUGGAUGUGCGUUCCUCUCAGUGGAGGCCUACAUAUAUUAUUGCAUGCUGUGUUCUGCACAAUAUAUGUAUUAUACAAAAUGAUGUGCAAGAUAUUAUUAUUAAUGACAUUGAAAAUCAUGAAGAGGAAGAGGAUGUCCACAUACCUCAGCAAAUAGAAAGAGCAUGGCAACUUAUGGGAAGAGUCAAAAGAAAUAGGAUUUGUCAAGAACUCAGUGAAUGAUCUCAGAUCUCUUCCACAAUGGCUAAUGAUUUAGAAUAAAGGCAUUUCGAAAA
rnacentral:lncRNA from 1 species